rnacentral:rRNA from 1 species
CCUACGGGCGGCAGCAGUGAGGAAUAUUGGUCAAUGGGCGCUAGCCUGAACCAGCCAAGUAGCGUGAAGGAUGACUGCCCUAUGGUUUGUAAACUUCUUUUAUAUGGGAAUAAAGUGCAGUAUGUAUACUGCUUUGCAUGUACCUUAUGAAUAAGGAUCGGCUAAAUCCGUGCCAGCAGCCGCGGUAAUACGGAGGCUCCGAGCGUUAUCCGGAUUUAUUGGGUUUAAAGGUAACGUAGGCGGGUUGUAAAGGCAGUUAUGAAAGUUUGCGGCUCAAACGUAAAAUUGCAGUUGAUACUGGCAACCUUGAGUACAAGAGAGGAAGGCGGAAUUCGUGGUGUAGCGGUGAAAUGCUUAGAUAUAUCGAAGAACACCGAUUGCGAAGGCAGCCUGCUGGACUGUAACUGACGCUGAGGCUCGAAAGUGUGGGUAUCAAACAGGAUUAGAUACCCUAGUAGUC